rnacentral:hammerhead_ribozyme from 1 species
ACCCAGCUGAUGAGUUCCAAAUAGGACGAAAUGCGCGUCCUGGAU